UAACAAGGAUUCCCCUAGUAACGGCGAGUGAAGAGGGAAGAGCUCAAAUUUGAAAGCUGGUACCUUCGGUAUCCGCGUUGUAACCUCGAGACACGUUUUCCGUGCGGCGCUAUGGACAAGUUCCUUGGAACAGGACAUCGUAGAGGGUGAAAAUCCCGUACUUGCCAUGGAUGUACCGUGCUUUGCGAUACGUGCUCUAAGAGUCGAGUUGUUUGGGAUUGCAGCUCAAAAUGGGUGGUAGACUCCAUCUAAAGCUAAAUAUCGGGGAGAGACCGAUAGCGAACAAGUACCGUGAGGGAAAGAUGAAAAGCACUUUGGAAAGAGAGUUAAAAGUACGUGAAAUUGUCGAAAGGGAAGCGCUUGAAGUCAGCCAUGCCGCUCAGGACUCAGCCUGGCUUUUGCUUGGUGUAUUUCCUGGGUAGCAAGUCAGCAUUGGUUUGGAUCGUCGGAGAAGCAUAGUCGGAAUGUGGCGCCCUCGGGCGUGUUAUAGCCUUCUAUUGGAUACGACGAUCUAGACCAAGGAACGCAGCGCGCCUUAUGGCGGGUCUUCGGACACCUUCCCGCUUAGGAUGCUGGCGUAAU
rnacentral:rRNA from 1 species